CAGCCGCCGCGGUAAAACCGAGGGUGCAAGCGUUAAUCGGAAUUACUGGGCGUAAAGCGCGCGUAGGUGGUUCGCCAAGUUGGAUGUGAAAUCCCCGGGCUCAACCUGGGAACUGCAUCCAAAACUGGCGAGCUAGAGUAUGGUAGAGGGUGGUGGAAUUUCCUGUGUAGCGGUGAAAUGCGUAGAUAUAGGAAGGAACAUCAGUGGCGAAGGCGACCACCUGGACUGAUACUGACACUGAGGUGCGAAAGCGUGGGGAGCAAACAGGAUUAGAUACCCGUGUAGUCCCUGUCUCUUAUAC
rnacentral:rRNA from 1 species